UUUUCCCUCACUGUCCACAUGAAUCCACAUACUUUAUAUACCAAUAAAUGACACGUUGUGACUUUUAUCCUGUUAUAAAAAUAAUACCUGUCCUAAUAUUUAUUCAGUGCUUAGAAGACGAGGUAAGAUGCAAAUACUACAGAAAAAAAGAUCAUGUGGAAAGAGAAGCUCUCCUGUAAAUCUGCACCCAACAGCCUCUAAUACCUUUAAACCAAUCAAGGCUUCUUCUUGCCAGGUUGUCAUGGCUCGACUCUCUAGCCUCCAUAUCCUUCUUCUCUUUCAGCUCCAAUCUGCUGUUUGAAGUUUCUGCCCCACUCCUCCCAGGGGCCCAGCAACCCCGGCGCCUAGUCAUGAUCAGAAGCACUAGUCUUACUGUGUAUUUAUUACCGCUCUUUUUUUUAGGGCUGCACCUGAGGUAUAUGGAAGUUCCCAGGCUAGGGGUCGAAUAAGAGCUACAGCUGCCGGCUUACACCACAGCCAUGGCAACACCAGAUCCUGGACCCAUUAAGCGAGGCCAGGGAUCGAACCCCCAUCCUCAUGGAUACUAGUCAGGUUUGUUAGCACUGAUGCCAUGACGGGAACUCCUAUUCUCACUUUUUUUAAGUGCUGAUAACAACUCUGGCUUCUCUCCACCUGCUUUCUUAAAGGUUAAUAAAGCUGAGUUUUGUGAGUCUCUUAAAAGCAAGGUACCAUACAAAUGCCAAAUAUGACAGGUUUCCUUUACUGUCUGCCCCCUCAUCACAGCUUGCCAGAAAGAAAAAAAAAGAAAAAAGUUCCUAUAGGCGCAUUCCCACAGCCAUCACUCCUGCUACUACAGCGGCGAAUCAUGGGCACCUGCUCAAUACAGUGAUGGUGCCAGCAUGAAAUGAUCAUGAUCAUUUUAUUCCAGAGACCAAGGCCUGCAAGUCUGAUCAAGAGCUGAAGAGCGAGGACGGGACAUGGGAAAAGCUUGCCAAAAUUUCACGUGGGUGGCCCCGGCAGCCAGGACAUAGGACACCCUCCUCCCCAGCCUCAGAGAGUCCCUGGAUUACCUGCACGCCCAAGAGCAGUCUCUCCUGAGAAGAUGCUAUCAAACAGCUUCAAAUAACUAAAGCCCUCUAUCCAAUUCUCAUCAGGACCUUAUGACCUACCUAAACUUGGCAGCGUCACAAGGCGUUAAUUUUAUGACAGCCAUUCUUUGACAAAAACUAACAGGGAUAUAGGAAAUGGCCAAAAAAGGAAGGGCAAUGCACAAAGCAGGGCAGGCCAGACUUAGUGAAAGACAAAAUCAGCUUCAUCUAAGGCUCUACAUAUGGUUGCCCUUUUCAAGUGGCUGCAACACAGCCCUUAGAUGGUGACCUGAAGGCCCAACAGACACCCAGAGGGUGCAUUCUACUGCAAAAUCCUCGUUUUACAGAUGGAAAAACUGAGACCCAAAGAAGUGGGUCCCAAGGUCACACAGUAAAUUUAAGUAGUGAACAAUGCUGGUCCACAGAGCAAGUCUUGGGAGGCCCUGGUUGGCGGUCUUUUCACCAAAUCCCACCAGACCCUCUACCAUGGAAAGUACAUCACUCUGCCUCUGACAAACCAUUUCAACUGAAAGAAAUGCCAUCAACACAUAUCAACAUGCAGAAUAUGCACUAGUAACAUAAAAUUAAAAUGGGUAAGCUGGGCUUAUCUUUACAUUUAAAUUAAAUUUACAUUUAAACUAAUUUGUUGGUAGUACAACAUUGUUGAAAAUAAAUGAACAUAAAAAACAUAAAAUAGUUUUUAAAUCUGGAUGGAAGCAUCUUAAAAACAUUCAAAUCAGUUAAGACAUGCUGUUCCAAUCAAAUCUUAUUCUAAAUAACAAGUUAAAUAUGUUUUACAAGAGAAUUCUUAUUGAAUAAUAAUGAAACCAGUUGAAGACAGUCUCAUAAAAGAGAAAACUUAAAAGUUCUAUGGCUGGAGUUCCCAUUGUGGCACAGUGGAAAUAAUCCAACUAGGAACCAUGAGGUUGAGGGUUCGAUCCCUGGCAGUGGGUUGAGGAUCUGGUGUUGCCGUGAGCUGUGGUGUAGGUUGCAGAUGUGGCUCAGAUCCGGUGUUGCUGUGGCCAGCAGCUGUGGCUCUGAUUAGACCCCUCGCCUGGGACCUUCCAUGUGCUGCAGGUACUGCCCUAAAAAAUAAAUAAAUAAAUAAAUAAAAAGUUCUACUGCUGUGCCAGCAAAGGACUAUCCACCUCCUCAGAGGGAUUUUCUUGGGAAGCUGACAUUUAUGUCAAAGAUACCAACACAUAAGAUAGUAUAUGUAAGAAGCUAAAUAUCAGGCUUGACGCAUAGUAAGUACUGAACAAAUGCUAGCUGCCUUAACUUGGGAUAGGAAAAUAAGUACCACCCGCAUAACCAGUAAUACCUUCCUAUAACACCUUCCUAGUGCUCACUCUGGCAGCACAUUUAAAAUACUUUCCUAAAAGUCUUGUCUUUGUGCACCUGGAAAAAUUUAUGGUGCAUAGGACAAAGCUUGCAUUUUUUUUUUCUUUUUACGACUGCUCCUGUGGCACAUGGAAAUUCCCAGGCUAGGGGUCUAAUCAGAGCUGCAGCUGCUGGCCAAUGCCACAGCCCCAGCAACACCAGAUCUGAGCCGCAUCCGUGACCUACGCCACAGCUUGAGGCAACAGUGGAUCCAUAACCCACUGAGCAAGGCAGGGAUGAAUCCACAUCCUCACGGACACUAUGCUGGGUUCAUGACACGCUGAGCCACAAGGGGAACCCCAGGUACUGAAUAUUUUAAAGGUAUAACUGUAGGCGGUGUAGAGAGACAACAUUCCAUUUCUCUUAAAAGACACUUAGACAUCCCGAAACCAGGGUAAUCAACAUAACACUGUUCUAGGACAAUGGUGAGUCUUUCAGUAUUAAUUCCAGCUGUUAUUGAAAAGAAAAAAAAAAAUGGAUGCUUUUCGUUGCUUCUCUGGCAGCAAGAAAAGAAAAUAGUCAUCAGAAAGUUGAAACAUGACAUAAAAAGAGUAAUAACUAUUUGGAGUUUCUGUCAUGGCACAGUGGGUUAAGAAUCUGUGGUGGCUCAGGUCUCUUUGGAGGCAGACGUUCAAUCCCCAGCCUGGCGGUGUGUUAAAGGAUCCAUAGCUGCAGCAUGGGUCAGGAUUGGCCCAGAAACUUCCAUAUGCCAUGAGUACAGGCCACUAUUAAAAGAAGAAAACAAAACAAAGGAGUUCCCACUGCAGCCCAGCAGGUUAAGGACCUGACAUUGUCUCUGCAAGGAUUUGGGUCCAUUCCCUGGCCUUGCUCAGUGGGUUAAGGAUCUGCUGUUGCCACAAGCUAUGGCAUAAUUCCCAGAUAUGGCUCGGAGCCGGUGUUGCCAUGGCUGUGGUAUAGGCCAGCAACUGCAGCUCCCAUUCAACCCCAAGUCUAGGACCUUCCAUAUGCCACAGGUUAUUCUUAUUACUAACCUGGUAGCAUGGCAGAAGAGUCUAAGGUGCUGGAUUAAGCAUUCUUAUUACUCCAGUUAAAAAAGCCAGCCUUUUACACUUUAGCUCAUGGAGUUUUUCCUCUACCACUUUAUAAAAGUUUCAUUGAAUGGAAUUGCGCUGGCUCCUUACAGGUGAAUUAUUUACUUAAAAGUAUCCUUUUCAAGAGAGAAUAAAAGUAGAAGUAAACACCUUCCCUGAGAAAGAUCUCAACUUUAGAGUCCUUUCUCAAAAGCUCUGAGCAAAUAUCCAGACCAACCCCAGCCUGUGAAGACCCUGAGUGAUUUUUCGAGGUCAUACAGUAAUCCCAUGACCAAAGCACAGCUACAGAAAUCGUGCAUCUGCUUCCCCAGGUGUUCUGACUCCCAGCCCAUUGUACUCUACCGCCACCUGUGUUCUCCCAGCAUUUCCCCCGUGUGGCGGUUCCUCAUCCUUUCAACAAAUGUCAUCCUUUCAAAACAGAGCCAUUUCGAGGACUCUGUGAGUUCCGAUAAACAACUGCUGAACAAAUCCUGCUUUCAAGCUACAAGCUGAAAACAUAACAAAGCAGCUACCUAAAUUCACAAAGAAAUCCCCCUUCCUGAAAGCCCAGCUACAGGAAUUCAGAGAUUCUUAAUUAUCAUGGCCAUUUGAGGACAAGAUUUGAAAUCUAAAUCCACGACAAGGAAAAAAAAAAAAAAAGAAAAGACUUAAGAGACCCAAAUUCAGAACAAUGGAUCAGGAUGCCACUGUUUGCUUUUUUUAAAUCAGUGAAAUAUUAAAACACAUGACAAACCAACGCCAACCUCACAAAGUUUCCUCAUUUCCUGGGAUUCAACCACCACUGCUGGCAUCAUGUUAUGGUAACCCCUUAAGUAGUUUACCUAUCAGGUGCAAGGUAAAGGCAGUGACUGAGGAACUUCUUAAACAACACUGUGCCCAGUCUUGUCUGAGCUUCCAACACUGACCUUAUUCUCCUCUUAACGUUGGCCCUCCCCGGCCACUCAAUCCAUCACAAACCCUCUGUAACAGUUGUGGCUCUAAACUGCGCAGAACUUGACUACAAAUCGGCCACAACUCUAGAUCUGAUUUCUCCAAUUUACUAUUUGUUUAAAUUCAAGUCCCAAGCCCCCUUGGCUCUUCGUCCCCGACCUCUCGGUUCUAGAUCUCUCAGCCGACGUCAAGAUCACCUUUCAUUGUUUCUGUGGGACUCCGCAUCCCUCCCUCCGCCCAGCAAUGUUUUCAUCGCACAAAUGUCAUUUCUAGCGUUCAACCCUCCAUUCCGCCCGGCGGGCAGCAGAGGGGAUUCCUGAUUCGGUCCCCUUCGCACAGCCAUUUUCUAGUUAAAACGCUCCCUGCCUCUGAAGGGGAAAUGAACUUUUCCCCCUUGAUCUUGCAGCGGCUAAGCUCUGAACCCCUAGAAAAGCCAGCCGGGUCUUCAACUCCCCCGCAGGAGCGCACUGCCGCCCGGGGAGGAAGAGCCCAGCCGCACAGCGGAGGCCAGUGCCAGGGCAAGGGGGUGUGCGCUCUUCCCCGCCGGCGCCCACCCUCACUUUUCCCUUCCGCAGCCCCCACCCCGGCGCAGCCCCUCCAAUCCUGUCUCCCCGCCCAGGCCCUGCCAAGCCCCCGGCUGCGGAGGGAAAGGGGGCGCCGAGAAGCGGGAGUGAUGGAGUCAAGGAGUGAGCCCGCAGUCACCGUGCCACCCGGCCCUGCGGCGCGGGCGCAGGGCGCACGGGACUCCGCAGCGGACGCCCGCUGCAGAUGCGUGGCAGCUGCUGCAGCUGUGGCUGCGGCUGAGCGGGCAGACGGCAGCAGCCGCGCAGACCUCGGGGGCCGGGAGGAGAGGAGCAGCCGCCCGGGCUACUUGCCGCACGCCGCUGCCGCUGCCCAGGUCUCCCGCCAGCACUCCCGGGCCGCCCAGGAGUCCAGAGCAAAAGCAAGGAAGAAAGCGGGGCUCACCGGUGGUGCGCGCGGCGCUCUCCUCGGCUCCGGCACCCGGCAGCUCUGCUCCAGUCUCGCCCUGCCCGGAGCGCCACGAUCAGCUGCGGGUGCAGCGCACGAGCUUCCUACUUGAGACCAAGACGGGCUCCGGCAACUGAGCAUGCCCAGUGCCGCUCCGCGAGU
rnacentral:lncRNA from 1 species